UUACGGCCAUAUUACUUUAAAUCACCGGUUUCGUGUGAUCACCGAAGUUAAGCAAGGUCGAACCUGGUAAGUACCUAGGUGGGUGACCGCAUGGGAAUAUCAGGUGCU